AGGACGAACGCUGGCGGCGUGCUUAACACAUGCAAGUCGAGCGGAAAGGCUCCUUCGGGGGUACUCGAGCGGCGAACGGGUGAGUAACACGUGAGUAAUCUGCCCCCUCACUCUGGGAUAACGUUCAGAAAUGGGUGCUAAUACCGGAUGUUCACGCCCUCCUGCAGUGGGGGUGGGUGGAAAGGGUUUUCUGGUGGGGGAUGUGCUCGCGGCCUAUCAGCUUGUUGGUGGGUAAUGGCCUACCGAAGGCUUUGACGGGUAGCCGGCCUGAGAGGGUGACCGGCCACACGUGGGACUGAGACACGGCCCAGACCUCCGUACGGGAGCAGCAGGUGGGAAUAGUGGACAAGUGGGACGAA
rnacentral:rRNA from 1 species